CUCAGAUUUGAUCCUUGGGUCAGAAAGACCCUCUAGAGAAGGAAACGGCAACCCACUCCAGAUUCUUGCCUGAGGAAUCCCAUAGACAGAGGAGCCUGGCAGUCUAUGUACGGGGUUGCAAAAGUCACAGGUGAAUGACUCAAGAGAAAUGCCAAGGCUGAGAGUGGCACUCUCAUUUGCUGGGUCAGUUUCAGACGAUCGUACCUGAGGAAGCAUGAACAUCACUGAAUUAACAAGAAUGGAGUGGUUAAGGUCACAGGAUGGCUGCUGGAGCCCUAACCAUCAUGUACAAGUUCUGGACAUUGCAAAAAAGAGAAGCAGGGAAGGCAUAAUUUCUCUUUUGGAUCGCAAUCCUGAGGCUAGCAGUUGUGGCUUCAAGUGUUUGGAAUUCAACGUUGGCCCAGCACCAGGAUACACCCUAGCAUUCUCUAUAAUUUUUAUUUUAGCUGUUACAG
ensembl:lncRNA